rnacentral:rRNA from 1 species
CCUACGGUCGGCAGCAGUGAGGAAUAUUGGUCAAUGGGCGCGAGCCUGAACCAGCCAAGUAGCGUGAAGGAUGACUGCCCUACGGGUUGUAAACUUCUUUUAUAAAGGAAUAAAGUGAGGCACGUGUGCCUUUUUGUAUGUACUUUAUGAAUAAGGAUCGGCUAACUCCGGCCCAGCAGCCGCGGUAAUCCGGAGGAUCCGAGCGUUAUCCGGAUUUAUUGGGGUUAAAGGGAGCGUAGAUGGGUUGUUAAGUCAGUUGUGAAAGUUUGCGGCUCAACCGUAAAAUUGCAGUUGAAACUGGCAGUCUUGAGUAAAGUAGAGGUGGGCGGAAUUCGUGGUGUAGCGGUGAAAUGCUUAGAUAUCACGAAGAACUCCGAUUGCGAAGGCAGCUCACUGGACUGCAACUGACACUGAGGCUCGAAAGUGUGGGUAUCAAACAGGAUUAGAUACCCUGGUAGUC